rnacentral:rRNA from 1 species
AAUGAACGUUGGCGGCGUGGAUUAGGCAUGCGAGUCGUGCGAGAACCGUAGCAAUACGGGGACAGCGGCGAAAGGGAGAGGAACACGUGGGUACCUACCCUCGGAUUCAGGAUAGCCAUGGGAAACUAUGGGUAAUACUGAAUAACGUCUCCGGACCAAAGGUGUGAUUCCGUCCGGGGAGGGGCCCGCGUCCUAUUAGCUAGUUGGCGAGGUAACGGCUCACCAAGGCGAAGAUGGGUACGAGAUGUGAGAGCAUAAUCUCGCUCAUUGGGACUGAGACACUGCCCAGACACCUACGGGUGGCAG